rnacentral:misc_RNA from 1 species
CACCGACGUGACGAGCUUCAUCAAGCGCUCGGACCUUUCCCGCGACCGUGCCGAGCAGCGGCCUGAGCGCUUCAACGUCGGCGACAAGGUGGAUGCCGCGGUGCUGAGCGUCGACAAGGCGAGCCGCCGCAUCUCGGUCUCGAUCAAGCAGCUCGAGAUCGCCGAGGAGAAGCACGCGGUGGCGCAGUACGGCUCGACCGACUCGGGCGCGUCGCUGGGCGAUAUCUUCAAGGCCG